AUACUUACCUGGCAGGGGAGACACCAUGAUCACGAAGGUGGUUUUCCAGGGAGAUGCUUAUCCAUUGCACUCCGGAUGUGCUGACCCCUGUGAUUUCCCCAAAUGCGGGAAACUCGACUGCAUAAUUUGUGGUAGUGGGGGACUGAGUUUGCGCUUUCCCCUG
rnacentral:snRNA from 1 species